rnacentral:tRNA from 1 species
AGCAACAUGGCUUAGUGGGUAGAGUAUGGGCCUGGAAGUCUGAAGAACCUGGGUUCUAAUCCCAGUUUUGCCA